AAUGUGGUUUUUGUUCCACAGGCUGCAGGAUUGUAGUUCUUCUUGCUUCUCCAGGCAGAUUCUUAAUCACUACGCCACCAGGGAAGUCCUGCAGAUUAUUUUUUGAAGUCUGAAAACAGCUGGACAAGAUGAUCUUAAAGACUUUUUGGAUUGGAAGGAACCAGCCUAAGGGGUGUGAGUUUCUCUAAAGGAAAGCUCUGUCCACCAGCAGAAAGGAAAGGGGACCUGAUUCUCUGGGUCCAGAGCAGGACAGACGAGCUCCCUGGAAUGAGCUUGGAUACCCCAGGAAUCCAGCCACCACUCACGGCCUCUGCCUCUUCCCUUCCCCAUGCACACUUGGCAUCAGGACUCCAGGCUCCAUGGGGCCCAGAGAACCAGCACCUUUCUGCUGCACUCUGAAAGGAAAGAGAGGGUUUCUCCGCCAUCUUCUUUUCAACCUGGACCACUUCUCCUGAACAACGCCCAAGGGACCAGCCAAUCAGGCUCUGGAAAUGGUGCCCUUCCAGACGUGGCUAUUUGUCAGUGGUGUGUCUCCCCUCUGGGUCUUGUCCAGGACAGCAGGAUUCCCCAGCCACUGAGUCAGGCUUUGCUGUCUACAGCAGGAAAUGAGGAAACUGAGGCCUGAAGAGAUGAAGUAUCUCUCCUUCUACCACCUUCCCAGGCAGCAUUUCCCCAAGUGUGUUUCCUACAUACUAGUUGCCAGAAAUUCUCUGCAAAAAGUAAAGGCACUGGGGAGGUCAGGGGGAGGUCAGGGGGUGCACAGAGCCCAGGGGAUCUGCAGUCAAAUAAAUUUGGGGAAGCCUAAACAUCAUGUCACUCUCUUGGAUAUCCACGAUGCACAGUAACAUAUUAUAGGCUUUUAAGAAAUCUCACAGUAAAGAAACCUGUAAACUUUGCUUAAUCCUGGACUCCUUUAAGGGUUGUCUCUUUUUUUCUCUAGACCAGCUAUAUUAGUUACAUGUUGCUGUGUUAAGAAUUUAUCCCCGGGCUUCCCUGG